rnacentral:rRNA from 1 species
CAGUCGCCACGGUAAUACGAGGGGGGCAAGCGUUGUUCGGAAUUAUUGGGCGUAAAGGGUGCGUAGGCGGUCCCGCAAGUCUCAUGUGAAAUCUUCAGGCUCAACUUGAAGUCUGCAUGGGAAACUGCGGGGCUGGAGUAUGGGAGAGGUGAGUGGAAUUCCUGGUGUAGCGGUGAAAUGCGUAGAUAUCAGGAGGAACACCUGUGGCGAAAGCGGCUCACUGGACCAUAACUGACGCUGAGGCACGAAAGCUAGGGGAGCAAACAGGAUUAGAGACCCCUGUAGUCCCUGUCUCUUAUAC